AAAUGGCGGAGGUCAAUAGACCAAAAACGAAAGCCCAAUCUUCAAUAUCAUCAUCUCAACAACCUCAUCUCAUCAUCUUCAAUAUCUGUUUCUUGAUUUCUACUUCUUCUUUCAGACCAAAAACGAAAGCCCCAUCUCAACAACCUCCAUAGAAGGGGAAAAAUGAGGUCCAUUCACAUAGGGAGAUCACCAUUCCAAUUUCCACCUCUAUCCAUAGCUCAAUCAAUUCUCUGGCUUUUUUAUUUUUCUUUUUCAACCCUUUAUUUUUUUUCUUUUUGAAUCCCAAAUGCAAACAAACCUCUUUACAUUUUCCUCUCUCCAUCGACUCUCUCUCUCUCUCUUCUAUAAACCACUGGAGCCUUUCUUUUUUUUUUCUUCAUAUUUUUUUUGUAUUUUUUAGGAUCCUAACUUCACAAAAAUCACAACUUUAGGACAAACCCAGUUUGGCUUGCUCUCUCUCUCUCUCUCCUCUGUAAACCACUAAAGCCUGAAUUUUUUAUUUUUUAUUUUUUUUCCCAUUUGCAGGAUCUUAACUGUACCGAAAUCACAACUUUACAACAAACCCAGUUCGUGUUAUUCAUUUUUGGUACUAGGGUUUAAGAGUUUUCGAAUCUUUUGAUUGCAAAGCAGAAACGAAGUAAUAAGAGCAGGCACCUUUCCCUCAACAACACUGCUCUUCAACAACCCAAAACCCACCAAGGUUUGUUCAAGGAUAUGAAGGUGUAUGUGUACGAUUUACCAUCGAAAUACAACAGCCUCUUUGCCUCUGAGGUGGCCAUACACAGAGCUCUAGUGAACAGCGAUGUACGGACGCUCGACCCAUGGGAAGCUGACUUCUUCUUCGUCCCCGUCUACGUUUCCUGCAACUUCAGCACCAUUAAUGGCUUCCCGGUGAUCGGUCACGCAAGGUCUCUGAUUUCAUCGGUGGUCCAGCUCAUUUUCUCUGAGCUCCCCCUUCUUCUCCCCUCUUCUUCCCCAGAAGAGAGAGAAAUAAAGAAAGAAGAAGAAGAA